rnacentral:rRNA from 1 species
AGAGUUUGAUCCUGGCUCAGGACGAACGCUGGCGGCGUGCUUAACACAUGCAAGUCGAACGAUGAAGGGGAGCUUGCUCCUUGGAUUAGUGGCGAACGGGUGAGUAACACGUGAGUAACCUGCCCUGGACUCUGGGAUAACCCCGAGAAAUCGGAGCUAAUACCGGAUAGGACCUGGAACCGCAUGGUUUUGGGUGGAAAGUUUUUCGGUCUGGGGUGGGCUCGCGGCCUAUCAGCUUGUUGGUGGGGUGAUGGCCUACCAAGGCUUUGACGGGUAGCCGGCCUGAGAGGGCGACCGGCCACACUGGGACUGAGACACGGCCCAGACUCCUACGGGAGGCAGCAGUGGGAAUAUUGCACAAUGGACGCAAGUCUGAUGCAGCGACGCCGUGUGAAGGAUGACGGCCUUCGGGUUGUAAACCUCUUUCGCCAGGGACGAAGCCGGCUUUAGUGCUGGUGACGGUACUUGGAGAAGAAGCGCCGGCCAACUACGUGCCAGCAGCCGCGGUAAUAC